rnacentral:rRNA from 1 species
UACGUAGGGUGCGAGCGUUAAUCGGAAUUACUGGGCGUAAAGCGUGCGCAGGCGGCUUUGCAAGACAGAUGUGAAAUCCCCGGGCUCAACCUGGGAACUGCAUUUGUGACUGCAAGGCUAGAGUACGGCAGAGGGGGAUGGAAUUCCGCGUGUAGCAGUGAAAUGCGUAGAUAUGCGGAGGAACACCAAUGGCGAAGGCAAUCCCCUGGGCCUGUACUGACGCUUAUGCACGAA